CGUACACUCCUACGGGAGGCAGCAGUGGGGAAUAUUGGACAAUGGGCGCAAGCCUGAUCCAGCCAUGCCGCGUGAGUGAUGAAGGCCCUAGGGUUGUAAAGCUCUUUUGUGCGGGAAGAUAAUGACGGUACCGCAAGAAUAAGCCCCGGCUAACUUCGUGCCAGCAGCCGCGGUAAUACGAAGGGGGCUAGCGUUGCUCGGAAUCACUGGGCGUAAAGGGUGCGUAGGCGGGUCUUUAAGUCAGGGGUGAAAUCCUGGAGCUCAACUCCAGAACUGCCUUUGAUACUGAAGAUCUUGAGUUCGGGAGAGGUGAGUGGAACUGCGAGUGUAGAGGUGAAAUUCGUAGAUAUUCGCAAGAACACCAGUGGCGAAGGCGGCUCACUGGCCCGAUACUGACGCUGAGGCACGAAAGCGUGGGGAGCAAACAGGAUUAGAAACCCGGGUAGUCC
rnacentral:rRNA from 1 species